GCAGUCGUGGCCGAGUGGUUAAGGCGAUGGACUAGAAAUCCAUUCGGUCUCCCCGCACAGGUUCGAAUCCUGUCGACUGCG
rnacentral:tRNA from 2 species